GACGAACGCUGGCGGCGUGCCUAAUACAUGCAAGUAGAACGCUGAAGGAGGAGCUUGCUUCUCUGGAUGAGUUGCGAACGGGUGAGUAACGCGUAGGUAACCUGCCUGGUAGCGGGGGAUAACUAUUGGAAACGAUAGCUAAUACCGCAUAAGAGUAGAUGUUGCAUGACAUUUGCUUAAAAGGUGCAAUUGCAUCACUACCAGAUGGACCUGCGUUGUAUUAGCUAGUUGGUGGGGUAACGGCUUACCAAGGCGACGAUACAUAGCCGACCUGAGAGGGUGAACCGCCACACUGGGACUGAGACACGGCCCAGACUCCUACGGGAGGCAGCAGUAGGGAAUCUUCGGCAAUGGACGGAAGUCUGACCGAGCAACGCCGCGUGAGUGAAGAAGGUUUUCGGAUCGUAAAGCUCUGUUGUAAGAGAAGAACGAGUGUGAGAGUGGAAAGUUCACACUGUGACGGUAUCUUACCAGAAAGGGACGGCUAACUACGUG
rnacentral:rRNA from 1 species